rnacentral:rRNA from 1 species
CGGAACGGGUGAGUAACGCGUGAGGAACCUGCCUCAAAGAGGGGGGCAACAGUUGGAAACGACUGCUAAUACCGCAUAAGCCCACGGCUCGGCAUCGAGCAGAGGGAAAAGGAGCAAUCCGCUUUGAGAUGGCCUCGCGUCCGAUUAGCUAGUUGGUGAGGUAACGGCCCACCAAGGCGACGAUCGGUAGCCGGACUGGGAGGUUGAACGGCCACAUUGGGACUGAGACACGGCCCAG